rnacentral:rRNA from 1 species
AGUGAACGCUGGCGGUAGGCCUAACACAUGCAAGUCGAACGGCAGCACAGUAAGAGCUUGCUCUUACGGGUGGCGAGUGGCGGACGGGUGAGGAAUACAUCGGAAUCUACUUUUUCGUGGGGGAUAACGUAGGGAAACUUACGCUAAUACCGCAUACGACCUACGGGUGAAAGCAGGGGAUCUUCGGACCUUGCGCGAUUGAAUGAGCCGAUGUCGGAUUAGCUAGUUGGCGGGGUAAAGGCCCACCAAGGCGACGAUCUGUAGCUGGUCUGAGAGGAUGAUCAGCAACACUGGAACUGAGACACGGUCCAGACUCCUACGGGAGGCAGCAGUGGGGAAUAUUGGACAAUGGGCGCAAGCCUGAUCCAGCCAUACCGCGUGGGUGAAGAAGGCCUUCGGGUUGUAAAGCCCUUUUGUUGGGAAAGAAAAGCAGCAGGUUAAUACCCCGCUGUUCUGACGGUACCCAAAGAAUAAGCACCGGCUAACUUCGUG